rnacentral:rRNA from 1 species
AUUGAACGCUGGCGGCAGGCUUAACACAUGCAAGUCGAGCGGAGAUGAGGUGCUUGCACCUUAUCUUAGCGGCGGACGGGUGAGUAAUGCUUAGGAAUCUGCCUAUUAGUGGGGGACAACAUUCCGAAAGGAAUGCUAAUACCGCAUACGUCCUACGGGAGAAAGCAGGGGAUCUUCGGACCUUGCGCUAAUAGAUGAGCCUAAGUCGGAUUAGCUAGUUGGUGGGGUAAAGGCCUACCAAGGCGACGAUGUGUAGCGGGUCUGAGAGGAUGACCCGCCACACUGGGACUGAGACACGGCCCAGACUCCUACGGGAGGCAGCAGUGGGGAAUAUUGGACAAUGGGGGAAACCCUGAUCCAGCCAUGCCGCGUGUGUGAAGAAGGCCUUAUGGUUGUAAAGCACUUUAAGCGAGGAGGAGGCUACUGAGACUAAUACUCUUGGAUAGUGGACGUUACUCGCAGAAUAAGCACCGGCUAACUCUGUGCCAGCAGCCGCCGCCGUA